CUGGCUCCCUGUAUAUAAUGCAGUGUGUGUGUGUAUAUAAUGCACACACUGCAUUAUAUACAGGGAGUCAG